GCUAGGAUGAACGCUGGCGGCGUGCCUAAUACAUGCAAGUCGAACGAGAGUGCUUGCACUCUAGUGGCGAACGGGUGAGUAACACGUAGGUAACCUGCCUUACAGUUUGGGAUACCCUGGCGAAAGCUAGGCUAAUACCGAAUAAUUGGAUUGGAGGCAUCUCCGAUCUCUAAAAGGGGCCUUUAAAGCCUCGCUGAAUGAUGGACCUGCGGCGCAUUAGCUAGUUGGUGAGAUAACAGCCCACCAAGGCGAGGAUGCGUAGCCGACCUGAGAGGGUGAACGGCCACACUGGAACUGAGACACGGUCCAGACUCCUACGGGAGGCAGCAGUAGGGAGUUUUCGGCAAUGGGGGCAACCCUGACCGAGCAACGCCGCGUGAAUGAUAGAAGGUCUUCGGAUUGUAAAGUUCUGUUAUAAGGGAAAAAUGAUAUGGUGAGGAAAUGCUCCAUAUUUGAUGGUACCUUAUUAGAAAGCCACGGCUAACUACGUGCCAGCAGCCGC
rnacentral:rRNA from 1 species